GCACUGCUGAGGAGUCCCAUAAUAGGACGAAACGACCGUCCAAUGC
rfam:Schistosoma rodhaini strain Burundi genome assembly, scaffold: SROB_scaffold0002060